AAAAAUGGAGCCCUCCCACGCCAUUCUCUUAAAAAAAUGGAGCCCUCCCACGCCCGCGAUGCCGCCGCCACCGUCUGCCGCCGUCCCGGCCACCGUCUGGCCGCAUACGACGCCGACACUCACCGGCGAAGCUGCGCCUUGGUCUGCUCCACUGGAUCCCCAUCCACGCAUCUUCGUUCCGCCCCCGAGCGCGACGCAGCGUCUAACCCUAGCCGGGGGGUUCGGCUCGGUCGCCGUCGCGGUUCCCGCGCCACCGCGCCUCCUGCUGAUCCCCUACGUCGUCUCUUGCUCCUCCUCGACGCCCCGCGCCCCUGCUCCUUCGCCUCUUUUGCGUGCGGCUUGGCGUGACCGUGUGGUGGCGCCGCCCGGUGGCGGUGUUGCUGCCGUUGCCGCUCUCGCCUCCUCUUCAGGCUAUGCUCCUUCGACCGUUAGUGUAUCUCAACAAGCUCUGCCACCUCUCUCUCUCCGCGAACUCGCCAUCGCGAGUUGUAGGCGGGUUGCCGCCCGGCCCCCUGCAACUCAUCGGCGACCAAGAGAUGCAGCGGCGUCGCCCCUCUCCAACGCGUCCCCGGCGGCAGCCAAUUGCUGCCCUCCGCCUCUCCCUCAUCGAUGCUGAUUAGGAGGGGCACGAGUGAGUAUGUCAACCUUAGAACAAAGAUUUUAUCCACAUAAAAUCCACAAUGGAUGAAGGAGGACUGCAACUUCCGUGGACAAGGUCGCUACGCAGGUAGCAGAGGUGGAAGGGUGAAUAGGAGUAGCCGAACACUGCCAGGAUCUCCUCUGGCUUGCGCCAUUGCUGUUAACCGUUGCACUCAGUGUUGCUUUCUUCUUCCACUCCAGCAGCCGCAGCCUGUAGAUUCCAGGAUUUAUGGUUAGGCACAUAUAUGAGUAUGUCAUGGAGCUGCUAUUCUUGCCCACUGGUAUCACCAAUGAAUUUGGGGACCUGAAGAAAAGAGAAAAGGAGUUGCAAGCCAGGGAAGCAAAGUUGAAGAGAGAGAAGGAACUAAAAAGGAGGAAGCAGCGGCACAAGGUCAAUGUGGAAUCAGUCAAUGUGCAAUACCAGCAGUGACACGAAAUAGUGGCUCAUUUGUGCAGAUUUUGUUCCUAAGAUGUGGCAGCUCUAUGAGGUGAAUUUUGUGGCUUAAGGCAUCAUUAUUCAGUACGAGCUUGGGCUGGACAUUGGCAGCAUGCACCGCACAGAUGUUCCAUAGGAUCAGGGUUGGGUAUACAUAGGAGAAAAAAGGAACCUGGUGCAUAUAUGUUAGCGAAGAUGUAUCCAAUGAUACAGGCUAGUUAUUUCCCCUACUGCAAAAAUUCCCAUUGCCCUUUUUAUUUGAUGAAAUGCGGCCAUACCAGAGGGAUGAGUUCAAUGCCCACUACACAUUUGAUGAAAUGCAGCGAGAUGGUGAGCUCUUCCCUAUUUCCCAGUGGUGCUGCCGAUAAGCGAGAUGUAGGUUUUGUUCCUUGGAUCUGCUCUGUUCAAACGUUCAUCCUGUUGUGGUCGUGGCACAUACUUCGGAAGCAAUUCAGUUCGCUCUAGGCCUUACCGAUGGCAUUGUUUAUAUCAUGAUUGGAAGCUUGCAGUUUUUACUUCAACUUUUAGUUGAAAACCUGAUAUUUAGAAUGUUGUGAAGUUACAUGUAUUACAUAUUUGUAAUGAUGUGAUAUAUAGAGUUCUGGAUUAUGUAUAUGUAUUACAGGGUUGAAAACUUUUCUGGUACAUUUGGAUUAUGUGCAUACAUUGCUGUUUA